UCCAGAACGUUCGGCGCCGCGGUCUGGCGCUCAUCGCGAUGGUCUGCACGGAGCGCCCUGCUGUCCCGACAGCAGCGUGUGCACCACAGACUCGAGUUAACGUAUGGCACGGAUCGUUUCAACUCCAUCUCCUUGAAGUGAGUGCAAGAAACCGAGCCGUGUCCGAGGAGUGCAAGUCUAAGUUAUACUGCAGAACAGCAAGGAACUAUCAUUGCCAAUGGGACUUCUUGGAAGUGCACUGCUGGAAAAUCAAGUGCUGAUUUGAUCCUGUGAAGACCUCCCAAACAACAUCAGCAGUUUGAACUUCCCCACUGCGGAGCCGUGCCUCGUUCCCUCUGUGAGCAAUCUGCAAAGACCAGGCUGCCCCAUCCUGCCUGAUGGGGAACCACUCCGAGGAAACCAGGGUGGUGCUGCAGUGCAAAAGGCUCAGCCCCCAUGAGGAGCAGGAGGUGUUGUGCAGGUCAGUCCCUAACCUGCAGUCUCACCCUGACUGCAGGUAGAGCUCUCAGGCUGGCUGGUGGGAGCUUUAUUUGUGCUAGCUGAUGAGAAAUGACGAGAGCUCAGGCCUCUGCCACA